rnacentral:hammerhead_ribozyme from 1 species
AUCCAGCUGACAAGUCCCAAACAGGACGAAACAUACGUCCUGGAU